UAACUCACUGUAUUGUUCGCCAGAGUACUACAAGCGCUAGCUUAAAACCCAAAGGACUUGGCGGUAUCCCAAACCCACCUAGAGGAGCCUGUUCUGUAACCGAUAAUCCCCGUUAAACCUCACCACUUCUAGCCAUCCCUGUCUAUAUACCGCCGUCGUCAGCUCACCCUAUGAAGGCUUAAAAGUAAGCAAAAAGAAUUAACUCCCAUACGUCAGGUCGAGGUGUAGCUAAUGAAGUGGAUAGAAAUGGGCUACAUUUUCUAUAAAGAAAACACGAAUGGUAGACUGAAAAACUGCCUAAAGGUGGAUUUAGCAGUAAGAAAAGACUAGAGAGCUUCUCUGAAACCGGCUCUGGGAUGCGCACACACCGCCCGUCACUCUCUCAAAAAAAAUCUACUUAUUUUUAAUUAAUGAAAAAUCUCAAGAGGAGGCAAGUCGUAACAUGGUAAGUGUACUGGAAAGUGCACUUGGAAUC
rnacentral:rRNA from 1 species